rnacentral:miRNA from 1 species
AGACAACUGGGGACCUGGAUGAAAUACAGAUUCUAGUUCAGUAGGUUCUUUGAGGCCCAAGAUUCUGCAUUUCUAACAAACUCCCAAGUAAUUUCAAU